UAGAGAAUACUCAGGCGCUUGAGAGAACUCGGGUGAAGGAACUAGGCAAAAUAGCACCGUAACUUCGGGAGAAGGUGCGCCGGCGUAGAUUGUAAGGGCUAGCCCCUGAAGGUUGAACCGGUCGAAGAUACCAGCUGGCUGCAACUGUUUAUUAAAAACACAGCACUCUGCAAACACGAAAGUGGACGUAUAGGGUGUGAUGCCUGCCCGGUGCUGGAAGGUUAAUUGAUGGUGUCAUCGAAAGAGAAGCACCUGAUCGAAGCCCCAGUAAACGGCGGCCGUAACUAUAACGGUCCUAAGGUAGCGAAAUUCCUUGUCGGGUAAGUUCCGACCUGCACGAAUGGCAUAAUGAUGGCCAGGCUG
rnacentral:rRNA from 1 species